CUUUGCUCAUCCAUAAGAAGCAACUGCUCACCCAUUCAAGUUUUAUCUGGAGAUUGCAGCAAUUCAGUCACUUCAGGCUCCGCUCCUAAUUCUAGUCCUCUUGCUGUUUCCACCACAUCUGCAGUGACUUCCUCCACUGAAGUCAUGAAGCCCUCGAAGUCAUCCAUGAGGACUGGAAUCAACUUCUUCCAAACUCCUGUGAAUGUUGGCAUUUUGACCUUCUCUCAUGAAUCAAUGAACAGGGAAAGGAAUCCAUGGAGAACAAGGCCCCUGAAUGAAGAGGAUGCUCCCAGCAGGGACACAGCUCCUCAGAGCGUCCUGCUGAGGCCGUGCUGGCUGCAGCCAGAGCCACCAGGCCUGCAGGUUGCCUCCAGGGGCUUCCUAUGGACAACCAGGGUUGCAAGGAGACCUCCUCCUGUCAUAGCCAAGGUGGAGAGGGAAUGAGCCACUGUGGGUAGGCACCCAGAGGAGUACCUGACAGGCAAGAAAGACUUGUAAGAAGUUGUUGUUUCAUGGAAUAUGACAAAUAAAUGCGACAAAUAUUUUAAGCUGAAUACAAAUAUCCUUUGAAGAUUGUAUAAAGCAGCAGCUACUCAUGAAAACCAGGAAAGAGACCACGUUCAGAGUGAUAAAAGUAAGUAGAACUACUACAGAAAGCAAGUUUACAAUUUAAUAGUGAAUAUCCACUGAAUAAAUUGUGACGAUAAUACUCCACAGGGGGUAGAAGGUCAACAUGGACAGUGAUUCAUGCUGUACACUUGAUCAAUGUUAAUACAGUAGUUCCCUUUUCAACGUUAAAUAUCUCUAAGAUGCUCAAACUUCAAACACUAAGUUGGCAGAAUAAUUAUCAUCACUCUAUCUCAUUUUCUUUUUGGCAACAUUCUAAUUUUAUAGAGUUUUGAAGCUUAGAUCCCCCCAACCAUAAGGCAUUAUGCUAUGAGAUGAUUUGUGACCCUCCCACUAUAGACACUGAGCAUACUAUUUAGACAAGAAUACCAGAAAUAGAUUAUAAAGUAAUAGAUACCAGAUACAUUUUCAGCUCAUUAUAUUGCUAAUUUAGCAACUGUGAAAUCGUUACUAAGAGACCUAUUCCAGAUAAGUGGAAAAAUUGUUUGUAAUAUCAAAUGGAUAACUGAACCAGGAGGUAAUUAUGACAUUUACUGUCAUGUAAUAAGAAAAAUGAAAUAAGUUAUCUUAAAUAAAUAGUGUUCAGGAAUGUCAUGAAUAGGAACCUGUAUGAAUCUGCUUUAUGCUUCAGGAAGAAGAUAUGAGGUAAAGUUCAGAAUAUAAGAUUCUCUUACUAAUGGCUCCUUGUUGAACAAACAAUCUACACCUUCUGCUAGACCAGUGUCUGAGGAGGUAACCUGGACUUUGAAUAACUCUCAAGUAUAUUUUCCUAAAAUAUACAACAUGAUCUCAUUUGGGCCCACUGUGCUACCUUUAAGCUUUAAUUUGUUACAAUUAAACCUGCAGCAGUAUAGAAGCCAGGUGGACCCAGUCCCCUCAGGGAAUGAAUCUACCUGAAAUAAUUCACGUGCAUUCCACCCUGAGUGAGACUUAUUUUUAGACUCUAAACCGAGCAAAAGAAAAUAGAAGUCAUUUUAAUCAGAAGUUUUAUCAGAAGUAAUUAAAACCAUUUCCUGUAAACUAUAAGUCUGAGAGGCCAUUUUACCUGAAUUUCUCCCAACAUUUUAAAUUCUGUGGUAUCUUUCAAUUUUUCAUGACACAUCAUGGACACAGACGAUGGCACCAAAAUAUUUUCAUCAGUGGAAUCCACCCAGCACCACCCAUGGUGAAGACAAUACUCGAGCCUCCAGGUCCAGCUCAGACCUGUCCCUGGGCUUCAGACUGACACAUCCCUACUGCCCGUGAGACAUCUCACCUAGACUCAGCAGACACCUUUAUAUGAAUACAUACACCAAGGAGGUCAACUUUCCUACUUUCUCCCCUUCCUGUGCCAAACAAAAUAGAAACAAACACCUGUCCUCUUUCUCAGCGAGGAGGGACAUCUCCAUCCCACCCACCAACACAGGCAACAGCAGGAUCCCCUCCAAUCCCCCUUCCUCCCACUGUCUAAUCCAAACCAUCAUGAGCUCCGGCCAACUCAGCCUCCUAAAUCCUGCCUUCCAAGCUUCACAGAAGGAAGCGUGGGUAAGUGCACUUCACAAGUGUGAUGCCUGGUAUAGCUUGUACCAGAGUUCCUAAUUCUCAGACUUGCGGGUUCAUGAGCUUAGACUAGUGACAGAUUCAGAUUUGAUCUUUCUGAGCCGCAGUAAUAACAGGUCGAGAAUGCCACGUACUGGCAAGGUCACUGCAGGAGUAGCAAUGACACAGAACAGGAGGUGACAGAGUGGCAGUAGGCAGGCAGGUGGUGAGAGGGAGGGUCACUGGUCUGAACAGCCCGAGGUUUCACAUAAAAUGCACCCUGAGCCACAGCGGAAAGGACUAGGGGAGGGGAGUGCAUCUGUAUGGUACCCAAGGGAAGCGUGUUGUCAGCAAGGCCUCCCAGGUACAUCACAUAUGCACGUGUCAUAUGCGCCCCAUCACUGGAAUGAGGGCGGAGACAACCCCAACAUGUGGGAGUUACAUUUGAUUUGUACCCAACACGAAAGGUACUAAGGACAAACACAACGCAGUCUCAGGUUCUAAGACACAGGAAAUCUAGUAAGGUAUAAAGAGUAGUUUAAAUUGGUAUAAGCAAAAUUCUAAAUCAUAUUGUAAAGUUUCUGAGUGAAAACAAUAAAAAAUACUGUGUAAAAUAUUUUUUUUAAUUCUUAAAAGAAACAAAGUACUCACUAGAUAGGGAAGAAUUUCUUAAGCUAAAUCCAAAGGGAAAUAAGGAACCCUGAAAGGCAAGUGAUUAUAAAGUCUCCUCUGCCCUGACACCACCUGCCCAUCCCCACACGUUGGAACUUUCUUUGCAAUAGUUCACCUGGGCAGGGGCAAAAAUAAAUACCCAGAACCAUCAAAAGGGAGCCAAAAAGAGACACUGCUCCCCACAAUAAACUGGAAGGACUACACCGUCAAAUAGAGGGAAAACCAGAGCCAGCCAGCCUGCACGUGGAGCUGAAGCCACAUUCCGACAUCCUGUAUGAUCCUGCAUCUCUGAUUCCUGACCGUGGAUAAAGAUGCUUCGAGGCAGAGGGUCCCCCCGAGCACACGGCAGAAGCAAGUGCACAUGUCUUGGGAAAAUGUAUCUUCAUCUUUGUUCUCAAAUGAUUCCCAUAAUUAGGUUUUCAAAUACAAUUACCAAAAACACCUACUAUAACAACAAAUACCACCACCUAGCAAAACAAGACACUAUGAUCCAGAGCCAGAAGACCAAGAUAUAAGAGAAAACAACUGAAAAGGUAUCAGAUAUUAUACAUAUAGAUACAGACUAUAACACAACUGGAUGCAUAAGAAAAGUUAGAAAAAUAUUUGCAUGGAAUAGGGAACUAUAAAAAUGAAAUAAUGUGAUAUAGAAACCAAACAGAACUUUUAGAAAUAAAGAUAUCAAUAAUUGAUUUUAAGAAAUCAAUUGGUUUAACAGCUGAUUAGACACUGCCAAAGAUAGAAUUAGUGAUUUGGAAGACAGGUCAGUGGGAAUGAUACAGAAUGAAACAUGAGGCAAAAAAGGGUAGAAAAUACAAAAGUAAGAACAGCAGAAA